CCCCCCAAAGAGGGGGACCUUCGGGCCUCUCGCGUCAGGAUAUGCCUAGGUGGGAUUAGCUAGUUGGUGAGGUAAGGGCUCACCAAGGCGACGAUGGGUAGCUGGUCUGAGAGGAUGAUCAGCCACACUGGAACUGAGACACGGUCCAGACUCCUACGGGAGGCAGCAGUGGGGAAUAUUGCACAAUGGGCGCAAGCCUGAUGCAGCCAUGCCGCGUGUGUGAAGAAGGCCUUCGGGUUGUAAAGCACAAACAGUCGUGAGGAAGGUAGUGUAGUUAAUAGCUGCAUUAUUUGACGUUAGCGACAGAAGAAGCACCGGCUAACUCCGUGCCAGCAGCCGCGGUAAUACGGAGGGUGCGAGCGUUAAUCGGAAUUACUGGGCGUAAAGCGCAUGCAGGUGGUUUGUUAAGUCAGAUGUGUUUGCCCGGGGCUCAACCUCGGAAUUGCAUUUGAAACUGGCAGACUAGAGUACUGUAGAGGGGGGUAGAAUUUCAGGUGUAGCGGUGAAAUGCGUAGAGAUCUGAAGGAAUACCGGUGGCGAAGGCGGCCCCCUGGACAGAUACUGACACUCAGAUGCGAAAGCGUGGGGAGCAAACAGGAUUAGAUACCCUGGUAGUCCACGCCGUAAACGAUGUCUACUUGGAGGUUGUGGCCUUGAGCCGUGGCUUUCGGAGCUAACGCGUUAAGUAGACCGCCUGGGGAGUACGGUCGCAAGAAAUUAACUCAAAUGAAUUGACGGGGGCCCGCACAAGCGGUGGAGCAUGUGGUUUAAUUCGAUGCAACGCGAAGAACCUUACCUACUCUUGACAUCCAGAGAACUUUCCAGAGAUGGAUUGGUGCCUUCGGGAACUCUGAGACAGGUGCUGCAUGGCUGUCGUCAGCUCGUGUUGUGAAAUGUUGGGUUAAGUCCCGCAACGAGCGCAACCCUUAUCCUUGCCCGCCAGCGAGUAAUGUCGGGAACUCCAGGGAGACUGCCGGUGAUA
rnacentral:rRNA from 1 species